AGUCGAGCGAUGAAACACCUUCGGGUGUGAAUUAGCGGCGAACGGGUGAGGAACACGUGAAGAAUCUGCCUUCAACUCUGGGAUAACUCCGGGAAACCGGGGCUAAUACCGGAUAUGAGCCUUGAUCGCAUGAUCGGGGCUGGAAAGUUUUUCGGUUGAAGAUGACUUCGCGGCCUAUCAGCUUGUUGGUGAGGUAAUGGCUCACCAAGGCGACGACGGGUAGCCGGCCUGAGAGGGCGACCGGCCACACUGGGACUGAGACACGGCCCAGACUCCUACGGGAGGCAGCAGUGGGGAAUAUUGGGCAAUGGAGGAAACUCUGACCCAGCGACGCCGCGUGAGGGAUGAAGGCCUUCGGGUUGUAAACCUCUUUCAGUAGGGAAGAAGCGAAAGUGACGGUACCUACAGAAGAAGCACCGGCUAACUAUGUGCCAGCAGCCGCGGUAAUACAUAGGGUGCAAGCGUUGUCCGGAAUUAUUGGGCGUAAAGAGCUCGUAGGUGGUUCGAUACCUCGGAUGUGAAAAUCAGGGGCUCAACCCCUGACCUGCAUCCGAUACGGUCGAGCUGGAGUUUGGUAGGGGAGACUGGAAUUCCUGGUGUAGCGGUGGAAUGCGCAGAUAUCAGGAGGAACACCGAUGGCGAAGGCAGGUCUCUGGGCCAAUACUGACACUG
rnacentral:rRNA from 1 species